GGAAUCUACAAAAAAUGACAAAUUGAAAAGCAAAUGCAAUGAAAUUGAGUCCACAGUUCAAAAGCAUGAGGAUAUUUUAAUUAAGAAAGAGAACCAAAUCAAGCAGCUUCACAACCAACUUGCAAAGCAGAAAACAACCUUGAAACUCCAGCUGACUGAUGUUGAGAUCCAGAGGAAGCAGGAAGCUUACAUUGCAGCAGCACUGCAGAAGAAACAGAGAACAGCGGGGCACUGGACCAGCGGCUCCUCUUGAUAUGACGCGUCUGUAUAAUAGCUAGAAAUAUUACUGUCCACACGUCUUGUAUUCAGACUGGAGCUCCUUCUGUUUCCCUUUCAUAGGGUACCAACAGUGCCUUUCAGUCAUGCAGCUGAAUAUAUAAACCAGUCAUGUAACAGGAGAGUAAGGGAAAAACAAAAUCUACAGCAAAAAUAAAGACUUGCGUGAAAGUUAUGAAAAUUAGAGGUAUGUAUCUUUUUUUUAAAGCCUUGCUAAUUACAUGUUUAAGGCAAACUUGUACUCAUUUAAAUUGAUUAAAAGUGUAAUUGUAAAACAGUUUUUGAUGUCCUUUAACACUCAACUUACUUGUAAGAGGUCCCAGUGAUUCAGCAAAGACAACGUGACUAGGUCCCUCACUACUCUCCUUCCCUCUGUCUUAAGUCUACCUCUGGUAGAUUCCUCUGGCACUGGUUUCAUUAUAACCACUUGUAUUUGAUCUGUGAUUGUACCGUUGUUUAUGUUUGAUUGUAUAUAGUGGAGAGAGUCAUGCCAAGCAUCACUCCUUGUGUCCAAUUAGCAUUGGGAAGAUUGCUGUAGCCAGUAGAAACUGGAGACAUGGGAGAUGAGAUUCAGUCGAAAUGAAAAGAAAAUGUUGAUAGCAGACCAAGGGCAAAGCAAUGAGGGUCUUGUUAAAAUGCUGCUCCACUACGUGGAGGGAAGACAUGCAUGGGUUCUUCCAGCUUGAAAGGUAAUCCCCUAAUAAGAUCAUUUACACUCACUGCAAAUUAGCAGCUUCAAAAAAUAACCCCAUUUGAUACACAUCAAGCACAAAUACCUUACACCCUAACCUUACACUAAUCUGAAACAUUUCACCUUUAUUUCUUAGUCAUUGUUUUUGUAUUGUGCGAACCUGCUAUCAUUCUAAACAUGUCAUAUUAAGAGACUUGUAACAUCUUUCACUGUCUUAAUGCCAUUAGAGAUGAAAAAACCUUUGAAAUAUAUCAGAAAUGAAUGAAUAAUUGAUUCAAUGUUUUGUUUUUUUCUUGUUUGUAUUACAUGCUGGUGCCAGUGUAUCCUGUCUUGUAUUUUUUUAAUCUAAUAAAAGAGAAAUAGAAGAUACAGCACACAG